UACGGAGGGGGCUAGCGUUGUCCGGAUUUAUUGGGCGUAAAGAGCGUGUAGGCGGCCAUGUAGGUCCGUUGUGAAAACUCGAGGCUCAACCUCGAGACGCCGAUGGAAACCAUGUGGCUAGAGUCCGGAAGAGGAGAGUGGAAUUCCUGGUGUAGCGGUGAAAUGCGCAGAUAUCAGGAAGAACACCCGUGGCUAAGGCGGCUCUCUAGUACGGUACUGACGCUGAGACGCGAAAGCGUGGGGAGCGAACAGG
rnacentral:rRNA from 1 species